UCUCUGGAGGACUAGUGGUUAGGCCUCUGCGCUCUCACCGCUGCAGCCCGGGUUUGAUUCUCGCCCAGGAAC
rnacentral:tRNA from 1 species